rnacentral:rRNA from 1 species
CAGCCGCCGCGGUAAAACGUAGGUGGCAAGCGUUGUCCGGAAUUGUUGGGCGUAAAGCGCGCGCAGGCGGUUGUGUAAGACAGGUGUGAAAUCCCCGGGCUUAACCUGGGAAUGGCGCUUGUGACUGCAAGGCUAGAGUGCGUCAGAGGGGGGUAGAAUUCCACGUGUAGCAGUGAAAUGCGUAGAGAUGUGGAGGAAUACCGAUGGCGAAGGCAGCCCCCUGGGACGAGACUGACGCUCAUGCACGAAAGCGUGGGGAGCAAACAGGAUUAGAUACCCGGGUAGUCCCUGUCUCUUAUAA